rnacentral:rRNA from 1 species
AACGAACGCUGGCGGCAUGCCUAACACAUGCAAGUCGAACGAGACCUUCGGGUCUAGUGGCGCACGGGUGCGUAACGCGUGGGAACCUGCCCUUAGGUUCGGAAUAACUCCCCGAAAGGGGUGCUAAUACCGGAUAAUGUCUUCGGACCAAAGAUUUAUCGCCUUUGGAUGGGCCCGCGUUGGAUUAGCUAGUUGGUAGGGUAAAAGCCUACCAAGGCGACGAUCCAUAGCUGGUCUGAGAGGAUGAUCAGCCACACUGGGACUGAGACACGGCCCAGACUACUACGGGAGGCAGCAGUGGGGAAUAUUGGAAAAUGGGCGAAAGCAUGAUAAAGCAAUGCCGCGUGAGUGAUGAAGGCAUUAGGGUUGUAAAGCUCUUUUAACCGGGAUGAUAAUGACAGUACCGGGAGAAUAAGCACCGGCUAACUCCGUG